AUGGGCUGAAAAUUGUGGUGCGGGAGGUGGUGGUGGGGUGAGGUUGGGACUGUUUUGGCAGUUUGAAGGCAUCAGGACUGGCUUCGACAUAAAGGAGCAGUGGCGUGAUGAAGGUGGUGGCAACUAAUAAUGUGCCUAGGGGUGGCCUGGCCCCUAAAUCUGCUCCUGAGGUCAGCAAAUGGUCCUCUGACUCCAGUGCUAACUUCAUACAGGAUUUACAGCUCCUGGUGACCUGUCUUGCCUUUUAAAGAAGAGCAGAGCUGGCGCUGAACUGGCAAACCAGAAUCUCUGAAGGCUGAACUGAAGACAAGAAAUGACGAGAUCACAUUCAAAACCAACUGAACAUAAACUGUAUUCCAUGUACUCUUACAUAAUGUACUCAAAUUUUGAAUAGCAUUUACCAUGCAUUUUUUGCUAACCUUUAAAAUCUGGGAGGUUUUAUUGCCUCACCCUGUA